AAAAAAGCAGGGCCCUGUGACUAUUUUAGAAUUGGGCUUUCGUAAACUUCAGGGAAAUUAAAUUCCAUCAUUAUUGGGUGAACCUACGUUGUAUUAAAUGGCUGAAGGUUCAGUAAAUGAUGUAACAUGC